GACGAACGCUGGCGGCGUGCUUAACACAUGCAAGUCGAACGGAAAGGCCCUGCUUUUGUGGGGUGCUCGAGUGGCGAACGGGUGAGUAACACGUGAGUAACCUGCCCUUGACUUUGGGAUAACUUCAGGAAACUGGGGCUAAUACCGGAUAGGAGCUCCUGCUGCAUGGUGGGGGUUGGAAAGUUUCGGCGGUUGGGGAUGGACUCGCGGCUUAUCAGCUUGUUGGUGGGGUAGUGGCUUACCAAGGCUUGGACGGGUAGCCGGCCUGAGAGGGUGACCGGCCACAGUGGGACUGAGAUACGGCCCAGACUCCUACGGGAGGCAGGAGUGGGGAAUAUUGCACAAUGGGCGGAAGCCGGAUGCAGCAACGCCGCGUGCGGGAUGACGGCCUUCGGGUUGUAAACCGCUUUCGCCUGUGACGAAGCGUGAGUGACGGUAAUGGGUAAAGAAGCACCGGCUAACUACGU
rnacentral:rRNA from 1 species